AGUAUUUGGUAUCUGCGCUCUGCUGAAGCCCAGUUACCUUCGGAAAAAAGAGUUGGUAGCUCUUGAUCCGGGCAAAACAAACCACCCCGCUGGUAGGCGGUGGUUUUUUUUGU
rnacentral:antisense_RNA from 1 species